GCUAGGUGUGGUGGCAUAUACCUGUAAUCCCAGUGACUUGGGAGGCCGAGGCAGGAGGAUCACAAGUUCAAAUCCAGCCUCAGCAAUUUAGCAAAGCCCCAAGUAACUUAUUGAGAUCCUGUCUCAA
rnacentral:sRNA from 1 species